rnacentral:rRNA from 1 species
GAUGAAACGCUGGCGGCGUGCUUAACACAUGCAAGUCGAGCGAAGCACUCUGUCCGGAUUCUUUCGGGAUGACGGACUUAGUGACUGAGCGGCGGACGGGUGAGUAACGCGUGGGUAACCUGCCUCAUACAGGGGAUAACAGUUAGAAAUGGCUGCUAAUACCGCAUAAGCGCACGGUACUGCAUGGUACAGUGUGAAAAACUCCGGUGGUGUGAGAUGGACCCGCGUUGGAUUAGCCAGUUGGCAGGUAACGGCCUAUCAAAGCGACGAUCCAUAGCCGGCCUGAGAGGGUGAACGGCACAUUGGGACUGAGACACGGCCAGACUCCUACGGGAGGCAGCAGUGGGAAUAUUGCACAAUGGGGAAACCCUGAUGCAGCGACGCCGCGUGAAAGGAAGAAGUAU